GGUGAUUCGUUAUGGGUCGAAGGGUAAAGUAGCUCCAAGAUACAUCGGACCCUUUGAAGUCCUGCGAAGGAUUGGGGAUGUAUCUUAUAAGCUAGAUUUGUUAGUGUAUAUGCCCUAGGCCAUUAUCUUGGACCUUUUUGUAUGUCAUUUU